UGACCACUAGAACUAUAAAAGGAAGUUUUGGACGGUUACUCUAAUCUCAACUGAUAGGCUGAUUCACAAACUCCGUUCACACUCCUGCGCAGUAAAAUAACACAUCACAAUUUCACUAAGACAAGACAGUCAAGAAGUGGUCAUCAAAAUGUUUUCUACGAGGAACUUGGACACAUUAAUUGUAAUAAUUUUCCUUUCCAUGUUAUGUUAUUCUUUGAAGUCUGAAGCAAAACCACUGGGAAAGCGAUCCAUAAGUGAAGUACAGUUCAUGCACAACCUUGGAGAACACAAACAUGUGCAAGGGAGACAGCACUGGCUUCGGAUGAAGUUGAAAGACAUCCACACAGCGUCGCUGAGAAAUACUGACAGGGGAGAACGAG